AAUCCGGAACAGUCUCCGCUGCUGUAACCCCCUCAAAACCCCGUCGAUACCUUACGGGCCACUGUUUCAACCUGAAACGGGAAGGCCAUCGACGGGCGGGGAAGUCAGAAGACCUGCCGCUUGCAACAUACAGUC
rnacentral:ncRNA from 2 species